rnacentral:rRNA from 1 species
UGAGGAAUAUUGGUCAAUGGGCGGAAGCCUGAACCAGCCAAGUAGCGUGAGGGAUGACUGCCCUAUGGGUUGUAAACCUCUUUUAUAAGGGAAUAAAAUACGGGACGUGUCCUGUUUUGCAUGUACCUUAUGAAUAAGGACCGGCUAAUUCCGUGCCAGCAGCCGCGGUAAUACGGAAGGUCCAGGCGUUAUCCGGAUUUAUUGGGUUUAAAGGGAGCGUAGGCCGCCCCUUAAGCGUGUUGUGAAAUGCCGCGGCUCAACCGUGGCACUGCAGCGCGAACUGGGGGGCUUGAGUGCACGCAACGCAGGCGGAAUUCGUGGUGUAGCGGUGAAAUGCUUAGAUAUCACGAAGAACUCCGAUUGCGAAGGCAGCUUGCGGGAGUGCGACUGACGCUGAAGCUCGAAGGUGCGGGUAUCGAACAGGAUUAGAUACCCUGGUAGU